rnacentral:rRNA from 1 species
GUAAGUUAUUAAGGGCACACGGUGGAUGCCUUGGCAUUAAGAGCCGAUGAAGGACGUGUGAAUCUGCGAUAAGCCUCGGGGAGCCGAUAACUGGGCUGUGAUCCGAGGAUUUCCGAAUGGGGAAACCUGGCUCAUCUUCAUGGUGAGUUACCGCCAGCUGAAUGUAUAGGCUGGUUGGGGGGAACGCGGGGAAGUGAAACAUCUCAGUACCCGCAGGAAGAGAAAAUAAUAAUGAUUCUGUUAGUAGUGGCGAGCGAACGCGGAUGAGACUAAACCUGUGGUGUGUGAUAGCGGUUAGGUGUUGCAUCAUGGGUGUUGUGGGAGUUGUUGUGGUGGUUCUAACUGGUCACCGGCGUAGUGCAUGAUGGUAGGCGAACUGGCUUGGAAUGGUCGACCGUAGUGGGUGAGAGUCCCGUAGUUGAAAGUGUUGUGUGUGCGUUGACAAUGUCCCGAGUAGCACGGGGCUCGUGGAAUCUCGUGUGAAUCUGCCAGGACCACCUGGUAAGUCUAAAUACUUCUUAAUGACCGAUAGUGAAUCAGUACCGUGAGGGAAUGGUGAAAAGUACCCCGGGAGGGGAGUGAAAUAGUACCUGAAACCGUGUGCUUACAAGCCGUUGGAGCCUUUUGGGGUGACAGCGUGCCUUUUGAAGAAUGAGCCUGCGAGUUAGUGUUAUGUCGCGAGGUUAACCCGUGUGGGGUAUCCGUAGCGAAAGCGAGUCUGAAUAGGGCGUUUGAGUGGCAUGACCUAGACCCGAAGCGGAGUGAUCUAUCCAUGGCCAGGUUGAAGCGACGGUAAGACGUCGUGGAGGACCGAACCCACUUCAGUUGAAAAUGGAGGGGAUGAGCUGUGGAUAGGGGUGAAAGGCCAAUCAAACUCUGUGAUAGCUGGUUCUCCCCGAAAUGCAUUUAGGUGCAGCGUUACGUGUUUCUUGCCGGAGGUAGAGCUACUGGAUGGCCGAUGGGCCUUCACGGGUUACUGACGUCAGCUAAACUCCGAAUGCCGGUAAGUGAGAGCGUAGCAGUGAGACAGUGGGGGAUAAGCUUCAUUGUCGAGAGGGAAACAGCCCAGACCAUCAACUAAGGCCCCUAAGCGUGUGCUAAGUGGGAAAGGAUGUGGAGUUGCUGAGACAACCAGGAGGUUGGCUUAGAAGCAGCCAUCCUUGAAAGAGUGCGUAAUAGCUCACUGGUCAAGUGAUUCUGCGCCGAUAAUGUAGCGGGGCUCAAGUACACCGCCGAAGUUGUGGCAAUGACCCUUUGGGGUUGUUGGGUAGGGGAGCGUCGUGUAGCCAGUGAAGCUGCGGUGUAAACCAGUGGUGGAGGCUAUGCGAGUGAGAAUGCAGGCAUGAGUAGCGAAAGAUGAGUGAGAAACUCAUCCGCCGGAUGAUCAAGGGUUCCAGGGUCAAGUUAAUCUGCCCUGGGUUAGUCGGGGCCUAAGGCGAGGCCGACAGGCGUAGUCGAUGGAUAACGGGUUGAUAUUCCCGUACCGGUGAAAAACCGCCCAUACUGAUAUUGUGAUGCUAACCAUGCGAAGCAUGAUGUGCAGGCUUUUGUUUGUGUGUUGUGUGGGUUGUGGGACCCUAUCUUUGGAGGUAAACGUAUUAACAGGUGUGACGCAGGAAGGUAGCCAAGCCACGCGAUGGUUGUCGUGGUCUAAGCGUGUAGGGUUGUCGGUUGUUAAAUGCGCCGGCUGUGUGCCUGAGACGUGAUGGGACCCCGUUUUUGGGGGAUUUGGUGAUCCUAUGCUGCCGAGAAAAGCAUCGGCGUGAGGUUUUAGCCGCCCGUACCCUAAACCGACACAGGUGAUCAGGUAGAGAAUACUAAGGCGAUCGAGAGAAUCAUGGUUAAGGAACUCGGCAAAAUGCCCCCGUAACUUCGGGAGAAGGGGGGCCCUGAGCGUGAUCUGCCCGUGCGGUGGGGAGCGUGUAGGGGUCGCAGAGACCAGGGGGAAGCGACUGUUUAUCAAAAACACAGGUCCGUGCGAAGUCGUAAGACGAUGUAUACGGACUGACUCCUGCCCGGUGCUGGAAGGUUAAGAGGAUUGGUUAGCUCUUUUGGGCGAAGCUGAGAAUUUAAGCCCCAGUAAACGGCGGUGGUAACUAUAACCAUCCUAAGGUAGCGAAAUUCCUUGUCGGGUAAGUUCCGACCUGCACGAAUGGAGUAACGACUUCCCUACUGUCUCAACCAUGAACUCGGCGAAAUUGCAGUACGAGUAAAGAUGCUCGUUUCGCGCAGCAGGACGGAAAGACCCCGUGACCUUUACUAUAGUUUGGUAUUGGUGUUUGGGUUGGCUUGUGUAGGAUAGGUGGGAGACUGUGAAGCUGUCACGCUAGUGGUGGUGGAGUCGUUGUUG